rnacentral:misc_RNA from 1 species
GGGGAUCACUGGUCUGUAGGUUUA